rnacentral:rRNA from 1 species
GAUGAACGCUAGCGGCAGGCCUAAUACAUGCAAGUCGAACGGGCGGUAGCAAUACCGCUAGUGGCGCACGGGUGCGUAACGCGUAACCAACCUGCCCAGAUCUGGGGGAUAGCCCGCCGAAAGGCGGAUUAAUACCGCAUAAACCCACAGUGUGGCAUCACAUAAUGGGUAAAGAUUUAUCGGAUCUGGAUGGGGUUGCGUAGCAUUAGCUAGUUGGCGGGGUAAUGGCCCACCAAGGCGACGAUGCUUAGGGGACCUGAGAGGGUGAUCCCCCACACUGGAACUGAGAUACGGGCCAGACUGCUACGGGAGGCAGCAGUAGGGAAUAUUGGGCAAUGGGCGAGAGCCUGACCCAGCCAUGCCGCGUGCAGGAUGAAGGCCUUCUGGGUUGUAAACGGCUUUUCUCAGGGAAGAAAACGGGGAUGCGUCCUCAACUGACGGUACCUGAGGAAUAAGCACCGGCUAACUCCGUG